rnacentral:rRNA from 1 species
UUAAGCGACUAAGCGUACACGGUGGAUGCCCUGGCAGUCAGAGGCGAUGAAGGACGUGCUAAUCUGCGAUAAGCGUCGGUAAGGUGAUAUGAACCGUUAUAACCGGCGAUUUCCGAAUGGGGAAACCCAGUGUGUUUCGACACACUAUCAUUAACUGAAUCCAUAGGUUAAUGAGGCGAACCGGGGGAACUGAAACAUCUAAGUACCCCGAGGAAAAGAAAUCAACCGAGAUUCCCCCAGUAGCGGCGAGCGAACGGGGAGCAGCCCAGAGCCUGAAUCAGUGUGUGUGUUAGUGGAAGCGUCUGGAAAGGCGCGCGAUACAGGGUGACAGCCCCGUACACAAAAAUGCACAUGCUGUGAGCUCGAUGAGUAGGGCGGGACACGUGGUAUCCUGUCUGAAUAUGGGGGGACCAUCCUCCAAGGCUAAAUACUCCUGACUGACCGAUAGUGAACCAGUACCGUGAGGGAAAGGCGAAAAGAACCCCGGCGAGGGGAGUGAAAAAGAACCUGAAACCGUGUACGUACAAGCAGUGGGAGCACGCUUAGGCGUGUGACUGCGUACCUUUUGUAUAAUGGGUCAGCGACUUAUAUUCUGUAGCAAGGUUAACCGAAUAGGGGAGCCGAAGGGAAACCGAGUCUUAACUGGGCGUUAAGUUGCAGGGUAUAGACCCGAAACCCGGUGAUCUAGCCAUGGGCAGGUUGAAGGUUGGGUAACACUAACUGGAGGACCGAACCGACUAAUGUUGAAAAAUUAGCGGAUGACUUGUGGCUGGGGGUGAAAGGCCAAUCAAACCGGGAGAUAGCUGGUUCUCCCCGAAAGCUAUUUAGGUAGCGCCUCGUGAAUUCAUCUCCGGGGGUAGAGCACUGUUUCGGCAAGGGGGUCAUCCCGACUUACCAACCCGAUGCAAACUGCGAAUACCGGAGAAUGUUAUCACGGGAGACACACGGCGGGUGCUAACGUCCGUCGUGAAGAGGGAAACAACCCAGACCGCCAGCUAAGGUCCCAAAGUCAUGGUUAAGUGGGAAACGAUGUGGGAAGGCCCAGACAGCCAGGAUGUUGGCUUAGAAGCAGCCAUCAUUUAAAGAAAGCGUAAUAGCUCACUGGUCGAGUCGGCCUGCGCGGAAGAUGUAACGGGGCUAAACCAUGCACCGAAGCUGCGGCAGCGACGCUUAUGCGUUGUUGGGUAGGGGAGCGUUCUGUAAGCCUGCGAAGGUGUGCUGUGAGGCAUGCUGGAGGUAUCAGAAGUGCGAAUGCUGACAUAAGUAACGAUAAAGCGGGUGAAAAGCCCGCUCGCCGGAAGACCAAGGGUUCCUGUCCAACGUUAAUCGGGGCAGGGUGAGUCGACCCCUAAGGCGAGGCCGAAAGGCGUAGUCGAUGGGAAACAGGUUAAUAUUCCUGUACUUGGUGUUACUGCGAAGGGGGGACGGAGAAGGCUAUGUUGGCCGGGCGACGGUUGUCCCGGUUUAAGCGUGUAGGCUGGUUUUCCAGGCAAAUCCGGAAAAUCAAGGCUGAGGCGUGAUGACGAGGCACUACGGUGCUGAAGCAACAAAUGCCCUGCUUCCAGGAAAAGCCUCUAAGCAUCAGGUAACAUCAAAUCGUACCCCAAACCGACACAGGUGGUCAGGUAGAGAAUACCAAGGCGCUUGAGAGAACUCGGGUGAAGGAACUAGGCAAAAUGGUGCCGUAACUUCGGGAGAAGGCACGCUGAUAUGUAGGUGAAGUCCCUCGCGGAUGGAGCUGAAAUCAGUCGAAGAUACCAGCUGGCUGCAACUGUUUAUUAAAAACACAGCACUGUGCAAACACGAAAGUGGACGUAUACGGUGUGACGCCUGCCCGGUGCCGGAAGGUUAAUUGAUGGGGUCAGCGCAAGCGAAGCUCUUGAUCGAAGCCCCGGUAAACGGCGGCCGUAACUAUAACGGUCCUAAGGUAGCGAAAUUCCUUGUCGGGUAAGUUCCGACCUGCACGAAUGGCGUAAUGAUGGCCAGGCUGUCUCCACCCGAGACUCAGUGAAAUUGAACUCGCUGUGAAGAUGCAGUGUACCCGCGGCAAGACGGAAAGACCCCGUGAACCUUUACUAUAGCUUGACACUGAACAUUGAGCCUUGAUGUGUAGGAUAGGUGGGAGGCUUUGAAGUGUGGACGCCAGUCUGCAUGGAGCCGACCUUGAAAUACCACCCUUUAAUGUUUGAUGUUCUAACGUUGACCCGUAAUCCGGGUUGCGGACAGUGUCUGGUGGGUAGUUUGACUGGGGCGGUCUCCUCCUAAAGAGUAACGGAGGAGCACGAAGGUUGGCUAAUCCUGGUCGGACAUCAGGAGGUUAGUGCAAUGGCAUAAGCCAGCUUGACUGCGAGCGUGACGGCGCGAGCAGGUGCGAAAGCAGGUCAUAGUGAUCCGGUGGUUCUGAAUGGAAGGGCCAUCGCUCAACGGAUAAAAGGUACUCCGGGGAUAACAGGCUGAUACCGCCCAAGAGUUCAUAUCGACGGCGGUGUUUGGCACCUCGAUGUCGGCUCAUCACAUCCUGGGGCUGAAGUAGGUCCCAAGGGUAUGGCUGUUCGCCAUUUAAAGUGGUACGCGAGCUGGGUUUAGAACGUCGUGAGACAGUUCGGUCCCUAUCUGCCGUGGGCGCUGGAGAACUGAGGGGGGCUGCUCCUAGUACGAGAGGACCGGAGUGGACGCAUCACUGGUGUUCGGGUUGUCAUGCCAAUGGCACUGCCCGGUAGCUAAAUGCGGAAGAGAUAAGUGCUGAAAGCAUCUAAGCACGAAACUUGCCCCGAGAUGAGUUCUCCCUGACUCCUUGAGAGUCCUGAAGGAACGUUGAAGACGACGACGUUGAUAGGCCGGGUGUGUAAGCGCAGCGAUGCGUUGAGCUAACCGGUACUAAUGAACCGUGAGGCUUAACCUU